rnacentral:tRNA from 1 species
GCAGGUGUGGCUCAGUGGCAAAAUGCAUGCCUCACAGGCAAGACCCUGGGUUCAACCCCCAGUACCACA